AGAACGAACGCUGGCGGCAGGCUUAACACAUGCAAGUCGAGCGCCCCGCAAGGGGAGCGGCAGACGGGUGAGUAACGCGUGGGAAUCUACCCAGCUCUACGGAAUAACUCAGGGAAACUUGUGCUAAUACCGUAUACGUCCGAUAGGAGAAAGAUUUAUCGGAGUUGGAUGAGCCCGCGUUGGAUUAGCUAGUUGGUGGGGUAAUGGCCUACAAGGCGACGAUCCAUAGCUGGUCUGAGAGGAUGAUCAGCCACACUGGGACUGAGACACGGCCCAGACUCCUACGGGAGCAGCAGUGGGGAAUAGUUGGACAAUGGGCAAAGCCUGAUCCAGCCAUGCCGCGUGAGUGGUAGAAGGCCCGUAGGUUGUAAAGCUCUUUCGAACGGUGAAGAUAAUGACGGUAACCGAGAAGAACGCCCGUACUAACGUUCGUAG
rnacentral:rRNA from 1 species